rnacentral:rRNA from 1 species
GAAACAGAUGCUAAUACCAGAUAACAACACUAGACGCAUGUCUAGAGUUUGAAAGAUGGUUCUGCUAUCACUCUUGGAUGGACCUGCGGUGCAUUAGCUAGUUGGUAAGGUAACGGCUUACCAAGGCAAUGAUGCAUAGCCGAGUUGAGAGACUGAUCGGCCACAUUGGGACUGAGACACGGCCCAAACUCCUACGGGAGGCAGCAGUAGGGAAUCUUCCACAAUGGACGAAAGUCUGAUGGAGCAACGCCGCGUGAGUGAAGAAGGGUUUCGGCUCGUAAAGCUCUGUUGGUAGUGAAGAAAGAUAGAGGUAGUAACUGGCCUUUAUUUGACGGUAAUUACUUAGAAAGUCACGGCUAACUACGUGCCAGCAGCCGCGGUAAUACGUAGGUGGCAAGCGUUGUCCGGAUUUAUUGGGCGUAAAGCGAGUGCAGGCGGUUCAAUAAGUCUGAUGUGAAAGCCUUCGGCUCAACCGGAGAAUUGCAUCAGAAACUGUUGAACUUGAGUGCAGAAGAGGAGAGUGGAACUCCAUGUGUAGCGGUGGAAUGCGUAGAUAUAUGGAAGAACACCAGUGGCGAAGGCGGCUCUCUGGUCUGCAACUGACGCUGAGGCUCGAAAGCAUGGGUAGCGAACAGGAUUAGAUACCCUGGUAGUCC